rnacentral:rRNA from 1 species
AGCUCCAAUAGCGUAUAUUAAAGUUGUUGCAGUUAAAAAGCUCGUAGUUGGAUUUCUGUUUUCAAUGAUCGGUCCGGUUAAUUUAACUGUGUACUGUGAUGAUUGAAUUCAUUUUUGUGAGGAUCCAUUGCUGGCAUUAAGUUGUCUGGCUUUGUGUACUUGCAUCGUUUACUGUGAAAAAAUUAGAGUGUUUAAAGCAGGCGUUUGCCAUUGAAUACAUUAGCAUGGAAUAAUAAGAUACGACUUGUGAGUAUUUUGUUGGUUUGUACAUACAAGUAAUGAUUAAUAGGGACAAUUGGGGGUAUUUAUAUUUCAGCGUCAGAGGUGAAAUUCUUAGAUCGCUGAAAGAUAAACUAAAGCGAAAGCAUUUAUCAAGGAUGUUUUCAUUAAUCAAGAACGA